rnacentral:rRNA from 1 species
AUUGAACGCUGGCGGCGUGCUUAACACAUGCAAGUCGAGCGGAGCGGCGAACGGGUGAGUAACGCGUGAGUAACUGCCCCCCUCUCUGGGAUAACAGGUGGAAACGGCUGCUAAUACCGGAUAGUGGGGGAUGACUCGCGUCCUAUCCGCUUGUUGGUGGGGUAGUGGCCUACCAAGGCGACGACGGGUAGCCGGCCUGGGAGGGCGACCGGCCACAUUGGGCUGAGAUACGGCGCAAACUCGUACGGGAGGCAGCAGUGGGGAAUAUUGCACAAUGGGGGAAACCGUGAGUCAGCGACGCCGCGUGCGUGAUGACGUCCUUCGGGUUGUAAACCGCUUUCAGCUAUGACGCGGUAGUGGCAGAAGAAGCACCGGCUAACUACGUGCCAGCCGCCGCGGUAAUAC